CCAAGUUUCCUAUACAACAUUCUGACUAUGUCUACGUAGUGCAUGCCUUGGCUGUAUCUGAUCUACAGAUCGUUCGGGUUGCAUUGCUAGGAAGUUAGCAGUUUGUGAAUGAGAUCCAUGUCCGGGGACUAUGCCCCACUGCAUGGAUCGCCUAUGAUACAGAAAUGAACUUGAACGGCUUGGGCUGUAACACACCAUUAUGGCCUGAGCUUGACUCGUUCAUCCGCCGACUCUGACUGGAGCGGCCAUGUAGUUGCGCGCAGGUGGUAACGUUCUGCGUGUGACUUAUUGGUUGCACCCUACGAAUUGCAAAUAUUCAGUCAGAGACCCGGUACGUUGCAAACCUUCUCCCUUCGGGUGAGUCCUCUGUGUACUUUCAAAUAUUUUAAACAACCUUGGCUAAGAGCGGUGUGGCGUUGGUAGCAAUACUGACAAUGCGCUGUUCUGGCUCGGUGCGCGUUGCCUUCGGGUGACAAACGCCAACCUUUA
rnacentral:misc_RNA from 1 species